rnacentral:rRNA from 1 species
GACGAACGCUGGCGGCGUGCUUAACACAUGCAAGUCGAACGGAGUGGCGAACGGGUGAGUAAAAUGUGGGUGCUCUGCCUUGCACUUCGGGAUAGGCUAGGGCAACUGGGUCUAAUACCUGAUAGUGCAUGAUGGGCUCGCGGCCUAUCAGCUUGUUGGUGGGGUAGUGGCCUACCAAGGCGACGACGGGUAGCCGGCCUGAGAGGGUGGACGGCCACAUUGGGACUGAGAUACGGCCCAAACUCCUACGGGAGGCAGCAGUGGGGAAUAUUGCACAAUGGGCGGAAGCCUGAUGCAGCGACGCCGCGUGGGGGAUGAAGGCCUUCGGGUUGUAAACUCCUUUCGACAGGGACGCGGUACCUGUAUAAGAAGCACCGGCUAACUACGUGCCAGCAGCCGCGGUAAUUC